AUUUAACAUGAGAGUUUGAUCCUGGCUCAGAAUCAACGCUGGCGGCGUGCCUAACACAUGCAAGUCGAACGCGACUGAGGGCUUCGGCUCUCAGUUGAGUGGCGAACGGGUGAGUAACACGUGGGUGACCUACCUUCGAGUGGGGGAUAACGUCCCGAAAGGGACGCUAAUACCGCAUAACAUCCCGCCUUUGAACAGGCGGACAUCAAAGCCGGGGAUCGCAAGACCUGGCGCUUGAAGAGGGGCCCGCGUCCGAUUAGCUAGUUGGUGAGGUAAUGGCCCACCAAGGCGACGAUCGGUAGCCGGCCUGAGAGGGCGGACGGCCACACUGGGACUGAGACACGGCCCAG
rnacentral:rRNA from 1 species